CGACAGAGACAGGAUUCGAACCUGCGAACGCGAACGUAUUUGAUAUCGAGCGUUUGAAGGUGCGUUAGACGCUCCUUCUGCUUCAAGUCAAACUCCAUAACCACUCGGACACUCUGUC